UUCACAAUUGGGUUCAUUCAAAUUCUCUGAGAUUGCAUCCCCCGAACGAAUUUUACAGUGUCGAAAACAAUUUGCUAUUGUCUCUUGCUGAACAUCCAAGCAGGGAUUGCAAAAUUGAUAGGAUCCAAAACAUUAAUCUUUGUUGGAUCAGUUUCUCCCACUUCAUAGCCUUCAUAUCCUCGAUAAAAUCUGUUACGAUAAUACAUCUUGAAAGCACUUAUUAUCCCAG
rnacentral:lncRNA from 1 species